UCCACCAAAAUACACCUGAAUUCAGCCCACAUUCCGUCCAAAGCCAUGGCGAGUGGGCAUCAAUCCCUAACCCACGCGUCUCUCUAUCUCUCCUCUGGCCGUUGCUAACGAUUUUUGAUGCCAAGAUUCGCUUUUCGUUCACUCGCUCGUUUUUUAGAGAAGGCACGUGAUUGGAAGGUCCUAGAGACGAGUCGUUGGAUGAAUGUGAGGCAUUGAAUUGAUUUCGUUCAAUCCGAGCCCCACAUUCUUGAAGGGGUUCGUUUCAUAAAGGAUUGGAUCCGAUUCUGAGACAGGGGGAUGAUUGGACGAAGAACUUUUGAGCAUAAAAACUGAGGUUUGAAAAAGAGUCUUUCUUCUUCUUCUCGAUUGUAGAUUUCAACUUAGUUCGAGUCCAUAAGAAAAUACAGAAAAAUAUACUCUUUUGCGUUGAAUUCUAUUUUCCUUUGUUAGAAUCAGAAAACGAAAAAUAAAAAAAGUUUUGAUUUCUUUGCAUAUCAUCUCUGGUUUAAUCGGGCUAGUGAUGGAAUUGGUUUACAAAUGGAGCUCGUUUGAGAAUUGCUGAGUUCGUCGCUGUCUAAACUUCUGAUCUCUGCUCGUCUUAGCUACUAGAUUUGGCUGUGUUUCGAGCCUUCUGUUAUUUUACUGUUGAAAGUUUGGAGUCGAAAAUGUGUAAUCGCCUUCGAUUUUGUAAUCAAAAGAAGUUCGAAAUUUCAG
rnacentral:lncRNA from 1 species